GAUGAACGCUGGCGGCGUGCCUAAUACAUGCAAGUCGAGCGAACGGACGAGAAGCUUGCUUUUCUGAUGUUAGCGGCGGACGGGUGAGUAACACGUGGAUAACCUACCUAUAAGACUGGGGUAACUUCGGGAAACCGGAGCUAAUACCGGAUAAUAUUUUGAACCGCAUGGUUCAAAAGUGAAAGACGGUCUUGCUGUCACUUAUAGAUGGAUCCGCGCUGCAUUAGCUAGUUGGUAAGGUAACGGCUUACCAAGGCAACGAUGCAUAGCCGACCUGAGAGGGUGAUCGGCCACACUGGAACUGAGACACGGUCCAGACUCCUACGGGAGGCAGCAGUAGGGAAUCUUCCGCAAUGGGCGAAAGCCUGACGGAGCAACGCCGCGUGAGUGAUGAAGGUCUUCGGAUCGUAAAACUCUGUUAUUAGGGAAGAACAUAUGUGUAAGUAACUGUGCACAUCUUGACGGUACCUAAUCAGAAAGCCACGGCUAACUACGU
rnacentral:rRNA from 1 species